CCCCUCUCAAGGUCACACCUGGAGAGUUUCCAGUACUCUACCAGUCUCGUCUAUGGAAGGGAGAGUCAAGCCGAGGCAUUCCCACUCCAUUCCUAGCUUGGGCAGUGGCUAGGGAGUGGAAGACAAUCUGCUACAAUU